rfam:Peptococcaceae bacterium 1109 scaffold00006, whole genome shotgun sequence.
UCGUGCUAGACGGGGAGGUAGCGGUGCCCUGAACCCGCAAUCCGCUAUAGCGGGGUCGAAUUCCUGUCUGAGGGAUAGUCUUGUGGAGUCUGGUUCAGGCAAGUGGUGUUGACGAUUGGGUCUCACGCAAUAGGAACCUAUGAACCCCGUCAGGUCCGGAAGGAAGCAGCGGUAAGUAGGCGACCCUAUGUGCCGUGAGGGUGCCUGAUUCGAGCUAACUGCCUGAAUAUCGUCUGGAAGGCUAUACUCGAGGACAGGUGCACGG